UACGUAGGGUGCAAGCGUUGUCCGGAAUUACUGGGCGUAAAGGGCUCGUAGGCGGCCAACUAAGUCGGACGUGAAAUCCCCAGGCUCAACCUGGGAACUGCGUCCGAUACUGGAUGGCUUGAAUUCGGGAGAGGGUUGCAGAAUUCCAGGUGUAGCGGUGAAAUGCGUAGAUAUCUGGAGGAAUACCGGUGGCGAAGGCGGCAUCCUGGACCGACAUUGACGCUGAUGAGCGAAAGCUAGGGGAGCAAACGGG
rnacentral:rRNA from 1 species